rnacentral:lncRNA from 1 species
UCUAUGUGCUCUUCUCCUCUGACCUCCUGCAGAACACUGCUGGUUUAGCACCAAAAUGACCUAUCCUAGAGCAUCAUUGCAAAAACUCUAUGCAAAUCUGGAUUAAAAAUUCCACAUAUCUGCAUUUUUUUUUUUUUUUUUUUUUUUUAGGGAAAAGAUGUUUGAAUUUAUUAGUUCUUAGUUUUUGAACACAGAAUCUCUCUCAUUAUUUUCCUGAUACUUUAAAGAAUUUCACUGCCAGAAAUUUAUUUCCAUGUAAACAGGGGUGAAUACUGACAAUACUGCAUAAUAAUAUUUCCCAUGCAUAUUAACAUAUUAAGUGUUUUUUUCUAGGCCAUGUCCAGGUCACGUAGCUCCCUGUGAAAUGCUUUAUUGUCCUUCAUCAUCAUUCUUAAAAUAUUCACAGAAUAGCUACGAAAGAUAUUUCAGGUGGGAUGCAGGAAGGUGGUGACCUUCCUCCUCCUAGUUGAUCGCAUUUGCCCUACAAGAUAUCACAUUGCACUGUUGCAUUGUUGUGAUGCCAAAUGGUUUUUUCAGUGCCUCUACAUUGAAGAAGAAAUCUGGCAUCAUGUAACUGUGGCAUCUGUUUUCCUUGAAUGGUUCUGACAGGUGGGAUUCAUUUAAAGAAUUAGGGCGGAUCAGUCUAGGCUGAUCAGUUUGGCACCCAGUGGUGUCUGAGGGGGUGACUUCUUAGUUGGUGGAGAUUUGGGGAAUGAGUCAGCUGACCACCAUGAGUGGUGUGAUUCAUUCACCCCACAGAGACAUUAAUGUCAUUUCCCAUGUCCUCAGUAAUCUUCUCUAGCUUCCAGCUGCUGCUCCAGAAAGGCAAGAGUCUCCCAUAGGUCCCUUUGACAUCAUGCAUACCUCAAGACAUUUCAGAUGCCACUGGAAAACAACGUGCAGGCAGCUGAGUCAUCUUCUAGAUGUCUGUUUUAUCAAACAGGGCCCAGGUUGGUGCUGCCCAGGUUGGCAUAUCCUUUUCCAAAGGCAGCUGACUCACCUGUCUAGUUUUCCCUUUGAAUACUGCUUGUACUUCCCAAAUGCUUUGAUCUCCCUCAAACAACCUCCCCAAGACUUCAGGCCAGCACUACAAAGAAGAGAAUACCAUGCUGCGGUACUUCUGAUUUUUUUUUUAUCUAUUUUGUUUGUUUGUUUGUUUAUGGGGGAGGAAAUAAUUUGCUUUAUGACACAAAAGAGAUAAAAUAAAUAAAUAAAUAAAUCUGGAGCUGCA